rnacentral:rRNA from 1 species
UACGGGGGGAGCAAGCGUUGUUCGGAUUUACUGGGCGUAAAGGGCGCGUAGGCGGCGCAACAAGUCACUUGUGAAAUCUCCGGGCUUAACCCGGAGCGGUCAAGUGAUACUGUCGUGCUAGAGUGCAGAAGGGGCAACUGGAAUUCUCGGUGUAGCGGUGAAAUGCGUAGAUAUCGAGAGGAACACCUGCGGCGAAGGCGGGUUGCUGGGCCGACACUGACGCUGAUGCGCGAAAGCCAGGGGAGCGAACGGG